rnacentral:rRNA from 1 species
AUUGAACGCUGGCGGCAGGCCUAACACAUGCAAGUCGAACGGUAACAGGAAGCAGCUUGCUGCUUUGCUGACGAGUGGCGGACGGGUGAGUAAUGUCUGGGAAACUGCCCGAUGGAGGGGGAUAACUACUGGAAACGGUAGCUAAUACCGCAUACGUCGCAAGACCAAAGAGGGGGACCUUCGGGCCUCUUGCCAUCGGAUGUGCCCAGAUGGGAUUAGCUUGUUGGUGAGGUAACGGCUCACCAAGGCGACGAUCCCUAGCUGGUCUGAGAGGAUGACCAGCCACACUGGAACUGAGACACGGUCCAGACUCCUACGGGAGGCAGCAGUGGGGAAUAUUGCACAAUGGGCGCAAGCCUGAUGCAGCCAUGCCGCGUGUAUGAAGAAGGCCUUCGGGUUGUAAAGUACUUUCAGCGGGGAGGAAGGGGUUAAGGUUAAUAACCUUAGUCAUUGACGUUACCCGCAGAAGAAGCACCGGCUAACUCCGUGCCAGCCGCCGCGGUAACAC